rnacentral:rRNA from 1 species
CCUACGGGAGGCAGCAGUAGGGAAUAUUGCUCAAUGGGGGAAACCCUGAAGCAGCAACGCCGCGUGGAGGAUGAAGGUUUUAGGAUUGUAAACUCCUUUUGUUAGGGAAGAUUAUGACGGUAUCUAACGAAUAAGCAACGGCUAACUCCGUGCCAGCAGCCGCGGUAAUACGGAGGGUGCAAGCGUUCAUCGGAAUCACUGGGCGUAAAGAGUGCGUAGGCGGUGUAAUAAGUCAGAUGUGAAAUCCUGUAGCUUAAUGAAAGAACUGCAUUUGAAACUGGUACUCUGGAGUGUGGGAGAGGUAGGUGGAAUUCUUGGUGUAGGGGUAAAAUGCGUAGAGAUCAAGAGGAAUACUCGUGGCGAAGGCGACCUGCUGGAACAUUACUGACGCUGAGGCACGAAAGCGUGGGGAGCAAACAGGAUUAGAUACCCCUGUAGUC